UACGUAGGGGGCGAGCGUUGUCCGGAUUUAUUGGGCGUAAAGAGCUCGUAGGCGGUUCGAUAAGUCGGACGUGAAAUCUCCACGCUCAACGUGGAGGGGCCGUUCGAUACUGUCGUGACUCGAGUCCGGUAGGGGAGUGUGGAAUUCCCGGUGUAGCGGUGAAAUGCGCAGAUAUCGGGAGGAACACCGGUGGCGAAGGCGACUCGCUGGCCAGCAACUGACGCUGAGACGCGAAAGCGUGGGGAGCAAACAGG
rnacentral:rRNA from 1 species